AGAGUUUGAUCCUGGCUCAGAAUCAACGCUGGCGGCGCGCUUAACACAUGCAAGUCGCACGAGAAAGAGGAGCAAUCCUUAAGUAAAGUGGCGCACGGGUGAGUAACACGUGGAUCAUCUACCUUUUAGUGGGGAAUACCCCUGGGAAACCGGGGAUAAUACCGCAUAAGCUCGCGAGAGGAAAGCCGAAAGGCGCUGAAAGAGGAGUCCGCGGCUGAUUAGCUAGUUGGCGGGGUAACGGCCCACCAAGGCGAAGAUCGGUAGCCGGCCUGAGAGGGCACACGGCCACACUGGCACUGAAACACGGGCCAGACUCCUACGGGAGGCAGCAGUGGGGAAUCUUGCACAAUGGAGGAAACUCUGAUGCAGCGACGCCGCGUGAGCGAUGAGGCCCUUCGGGGUGUAAAGCUCUUUCGACGGGAACGAUAAUGACGGUACCCGAAGAAGAAGCUGCGGCUAACUACGUGCCAGCAGCCGCGGUAAUACGUAGGCAGCAAGCGUUGUUCGGAAUUACUGGGCGUAAAGAGUGUGUAGGCGGUGCUCUAAGUCUGGUGUGAAAUCUCCCGGCUCAACUGGGAGGGUGCGCCGGAAACUGGAGUGCUCGAGUGUGGGAGAGGUAAGCGGAAUUCCUGGUGUAGCGGUGAAAUGCGUAGAUAUCAGGAGGAACACCUGUGGUGUAGACAGCUUACUGGACCACGACUGACGCUGAGACACGAAAGCGUGGGUAGCAAACAGGAUUAGAUACCCUGGUAGUCCACGCCCUAAACGAUGCAUACUUGGUGUGAGCCAUUCAUUUGGUUCGUGCCGGAGCUAACGCGUUAAGUAUGCCGCCUGGGGAGUACGGUCGCAAGGCUGAACUCAAGGAAUUGACGGGGGCCCGCACAAGCGGGGAGCAUGUGGUUCAAUUCGA
rnacentral:rRNA from 1 species